rnacentral:rRNA from 1 species
CCUACGGGUGGCAGCAGUCGAGAAUCAUUCACAAUGGGGGAAACCCUGAUGGUGCGACGCCGCGUGGGGGAAUGAAGGUCUUCGGAUUGUAAACCCCUGUCCUGUGGGAGCAAAUUAAAAAGAUAGUACCACAAGAGGAAGAGACGGCUAACUCUGUGCCAGCAGCCGCGGUAAUACAGAGGUCUCAAGCGUUGUUCGGAAUCACUGGGCGUAAAGCGUGCGGAGGCUGUUUCGUAAGGCUUGUGUGAAAGGCCCGGGCUCAACCCGCGGACGGGACAUGAGACUGCGAGACUAGAGUAAUGGAGGGGGAACCGGAAUUCUCGGUGUAGCAGUGAAAUGCGUAGAUAUCGAGAGGAACACUCGUGGCGAAGGCGGGUUCCUGGACAUUAACUGACGCUGAGGCACGAAGGCCAGGGGAGCGAAAGGGAUUAGAUACCCCUGUAGUC